rnacentral:tRNA from 1 species
UGGGGUAUAGCUCAGUGGCAGAGCACGUGCUUAGCAUGCAUGAAGUCCUGGGUUCAAUCCCCAGUACCUCCA